GGAUGGGUGGCCGAGUGGUUGAAGGCAGCGGUCUUGAAAACCGCCGGGCGGGCAACCGUCCCGUGGGUUCGAAUCCCACCCCAUCCGCCA
rnacentral:tRNA from 1 species